GGAUUUUUUGGUUUCUUACAUUGUUUUUAGUUCUGAUUCUUUUUGUUUCUUUUUUUCUUUCCUUUUCGGACUUUGGUUUAGUGUUAAGCAGUCUAACGAUGGGCAACAAGCGCGGAAAACUUGUGCUGGUGUAUCCUCUGUAAGUUCUACCGUUACCUCCCCUGGAGGACAAAACGGUUCUUAUGGACAGCCGCAACAGAAUGGUAUGGAUUCAUUCAGAAAAAAAAAAAAACAUAAAGUUGACAUUUCAUAUAUCGUUUUCAAGGGGAGCUAUUCAAUUGCUUUAUAAGUGAAAUGUAAUCUUUUGAUCAGUCUUAUGAGUUUAUUAUUGUUAAGGGCUUUUCUUUUGAAUCUUCUUUCUGUACAUUUUUUGUGUGUUGAUUAUGAAAUACGAGUUUAAUGCACUGCUCUGCUUGCAGGGUCAGCAUCCAAUCCAAUAAAACUGUCAGGAUCUGAAAACGGGGCUGUUUUUAAAAUCGCAACUUCUCAGACGACCUCAAAGACUUUUGAUGCAUUUUCAGAUUCCAAGAGCGGAAUUGUUCAACAUAUUGCAACUUCUAAGCCUACCUCAAGACCUUCCGACACCAUCUCCUUUAAAGGUAAGCUGAGUAAAUUUAUUUUGGUUAGUUCAAUGGUAGUAUUUUUGUUGGUUGGGAUGCUAAUCAUGGUUAUUUUUCAUAUUCUAGACUUGGGAGAACAGCAUGUAACAUUUCCACUUCAAUUUGGAUCCUUAAGUCCCGGUUUCCAGGUGUUCUACCCAUUCUAUGACUAUUUAGUAACGUUGCCAUGAUAUAUAUUACUAGUUUUUCAAUUUAAUUCCUGGUGGUUAAUAAAUUAUAUGAUUAUAUCUUUUGUGAGGAUUGACACUUUGGUAUUUCAGAUUCCUUGGACCAGCUCAGCUCCUUCAAAUCUGCAAGAACCGAUAUUUAACCAGGUUAGAAUGCGUCUUUUCAACAGAUGCUACUGUCUUGAUAUAUGGGUUACCAGUGGCCGAGAGCUCUGGCACUCAUUAAAUAUUUUUUUUUGAGUGUUUGAUUAUGGCUUUCAUAAAUCUUGAGCAUAGCAAUUGUCUAAAUCUGUUGGCAUGUAUGUCCCAUGGUCAUUUCUACUUCUUUCGGAUGGUAUUUCAGUAUGCAUGGCCUAAGCUUGAGAUUUUAACGUUUCUGCUCAUGCUCAGUUGACAUGAUUUAUUCACUGCUAAUUAUGGUUCCUGUUUCUUUUUCUUGGCAACUUGAUUGGUUUAUCUUUAUUCUUAUCAGCUGUUCUUACCUGCUAGGCACCACGCCACUUGUUUAAAUCUGCACCUUCGGGGUCAGUGCUGCCAGUACCCAAACAACAAAUAGCAAGAAAUGAUUCCAGUGUCUGUGAUCAACCAAAUAUUGGAACGUCCAAUCCAGAGCCAGAGACCAAAACAGAGAUAGAAGUCUUGUCAAGAGCACCCUUAAACCAGAUUCGUAAGCCUUCCCAUGAAUCAUCCGUUAGUCACAGAGCUUCUGUUUCCCUCCCUGAUAACAAGAGUAUGAAUGUUGUGCAUCAUAUUGCCGAUAUCCCUAAUGUGAAAGAAGUCCAAGUUCAAGAUGAGAACUCUACUUCCUCAGCAGCAAAGCAUGUGGCAAUGCAGUCUCUUCCUGGGUCUUUGACGCAGGCCAUCUACUCAUGUCCUAAAGAAAGCCUGUCUAGGACCAACAAAAUUAAGGCCGAUAAUAAAGUAACAGGCAAGAAAGGACUGGUUCAACAUC
rnacentral:lncRNA from 1 species